ACAUCUCUAAAGUAAUUUAACAUUUUUACAGCUUUAAAGUGGAAAAACUCGAAACUGUUUGCAAUUUUGCAUCAAAAGGUAUCACGACAAACUUGGCAAACAGCUUCACCCAUGAUGGUUGAGCUAAUAACCACAUGUAGGUCAAAACUGCAUGGUCUUGUUUAUGUUAACCCUGAAAAACUUUAGCAGCAGAUCAGCAUUGUAAUAAUUAAAUCUUUUCUUGGAACUCUUAGAAGUUAAAAAGAAGAAACAACAUAUUUAUGGAUGUAAACACUUUUGAUGCAAGGAAGAUUCAAGAGGUAUAUUGGCAUUCAAUCUUUGACAAUAUAGCACUAACCUUAUCAACAGGACCUUUAGCACCUCCUAUGAAUAUUUCAGCACUGCAAAUUAGGCCGCCAUGAAUGGGCCUCGAUCGGCGACGACCUCAAAAUCAAUCGAACUCCAUCAGUAGCGAGAAUCGAACAGAGGUCGAAGUUCUCUGUAUGAACAAACUCCAAUGUUCAAUUUCUAAAGUCAAUCACGAAAUUUGAAGAGCCCAGCUAAUCGUCUUCUCCAAGAGUGAGUUCAGGGGUCAUUGGUGAGGGAGAUGGCUGGAGAUCGGUGGUCUCUUAGGGUGUGUUUGGUUGUCCAGGAGCUGAACGGUGGAGGGCUGCUGUGUUCCGCAGCUGAUUUUAGUUGCUUGGGGUGUGGAUGAGAUGAGGAGUUCUAUUGUUUUUUCUUGUCCAUGGUGAAAGGGGAAGAAGAAAACAGAACCGAUGGGGAAGGGGUCUCUUGUGUGUAUUAGCUGCGCAGCUUUGUGCGUAUCUCCUUCUUCGUUAUUAUGCGCAGCUUUGCUGCUUUUUCGUUC
rnacentral:lncRNA from 1 species